GAUCGCAAGAACUCCCACGUCAAGAUUGGAAGAUAUCACCAGCAUCUUACAGAGCAGCUGGAACUCGACCUCUCGCCCCUGGAUUACAUGAUGAAGGGUUACCCAGAGAUCAAGGAGAGGGAGGAGAUGAGGAAGAUCAUUGGCCGCUAUGGGCUGACGGGCAAACAGCAGGUCA